UCGCGGGACGAGGAGAUCGGAGCCGGGAGACUCGCGCAGCGCCAUGGCCCCCAUUGGCCUCAAAGCUGUUGUCGGAGAGAGGCGGGGACUUAUCAGGAUCCUGAACCCCUGAAAUCACUCGGGAGAUGAGGAGAGCUUCGGUGUCCGCCGCCCAGCGCCGCAGUCUGCAAUCUCCCUGGUUGCGGGGCUCUGCCCUGCCGUGGCCGAACGCUUCGGGAGCUCAGACCACGGUGGCAGGGAGGAAAUGGUUGUUUAUGGGUUUGGAUGAAAGGCACCACAUGAAUGGAUUUUUAAAAGUGGGUGGCGGCGAGUGGCGGCCGCAGCGGAGCGAGGGCUGAUGGUGGGUGACAUUUGCAAAACGGCAUCCACAGUGCUAAAUAAGAUUGGUGAUAUGUGUGGAAAAACAGUGCCUUGUCAAUAUUUUGUCCAUUUCUUUAUAACAAAAAAAAUGUGUAAGGAUUGCUGUGGCUUUUGCUAUCUCUUUGGGGAUUAAGUGAAGAUUAAAACUGGGCUUUUCUCUGUAGGAGAGGAUAAGAAAGGAAAAAGAAUAAAAUGGUGGAAAUCUA
rnacentral:lncRNA from 1 species